CCCUCCUACGAUGCCCAAUCUUCGACCACCGUUUUCUCAACCCACUGCGCCUCCACCCGCCACCGAGCCAAAUAAUCAUCCGCCGUAUCCGUCGACCUCAAGCUGUCCAGGAAUCCAACAAAGUCCAUCGCCUCACCAACAACCCAAUACGACUCCUCCAGGAAACAGACUCUCAUCGCAACAAACACCAAACGAAACAAUCCAGGACCACAUUGAAGAACCGAUUCAUAAUAUCAGCAAUCCAGAACAUCAUUCCGAAAGCACAUCGUCCGAAAGAAACGAAUUUGACAACACAACUAGCAUCCAGCAGAUAAUUCCAUCAGAGCAGAAGAUGUACCGUUCCAUCCCGUAUGUUCCAUCGCUAUCAGAACGCAUCACCUAAAUCUUGAGCAAAGAUUAUCCUAAUAUAGCAAUAGCCACCAGACAGAUCCGUACCAUAAAAGCAAUCCACAGCAAAGUAAAAUUUCCUGUAAGUAAAGAAGAACAAAGUAACAUCAUCUACAAAAUUCCUUGCAACAACUGCGAAGGUUGUUACAUAGGAAUGACCAAAAAUAAUCUACGUAAACGACUAGCAGGACAUAAAUCAAACAUCAACAAACUAGACAGAUUGUUAAAUUCACACCACACAGACACAGCAGUAACAGCUUUAUCAGAAACCACAACAGCUUUAAUAACACAUAGUGUAGAAAGAUGUCACACAUUCAAUCUAGACCACACAAAGAUCAUAGACCAUAGUUAUAAAACCAAUACACUGCCUUUCUUGGAAAUGUGCCACAUAUCUAACACAGACAACACAGUCAACAAACGUACAGAUGUAGAAGGAUUGAACACUACAUAUGCAGCCUUACUUCAUAGUAUUAAGAAUUUUACCCACUGCGAAAUUAGACGAGAUUGAUAGAAGGAAAUAAUUCACACUGAGAAAUGUUUCAUGCAAGAGAAAACCGUUGCAACAAAUAACAGUGAAGGUCCAACUAAGAAUUCUACAGAUAAAGCGCGCAAAUUGUUUCGAAAAAUAGCUUGAAAUAUCCUAAAGUUCAUUGCAAUUGAGUGUAAGUUUAUUUAAAAGUUCAUCAGUGAUUCUCAAACGAAAAAUAACGAUCUUUCGCCAAAUUUACAGCAUGUACUAAAAAUUAUUACACUUGACAGUUAAAGUUAGCCACAACCCUAGACACAAAACGAACGUAUCAUUUUUCCCCUGAAGAAGACGCCAUACCAGCGUCGAAACGUCGGGUUAAAUAAUAAAACUCGUUUUUAACA